UGGCUCCCGGGGAGGAUGGACCCUGCUCGGCGCUCGCCCGGGCUUCCCCGGGCUGGAGAGCGCGCCUGAGUGCCGCCGCCCGCCGGGCAUGGGGAGCCGCUUCCUGGGCGGCUGCAGUAGCGGAGGAGGAUGCCCUCGGCGAGUUGCGCACUGGAAAGGAGUGAGUGAAAUGUGCAGCUCGGGGUGUUGUUUCUGAGGGAAGGAGUCGUUCCCUGGGAGAGGAGUCCUCGAUGAGCCUGGCCGAGGCCCGGGAUCUGUGUGAAGUGGACUAAGGAUUUAGUAGGAUGUCAACUGAGACAGAACUUCAAGUAGCUGUGAAAACCAGCACCAAGAAAGACUCCAGAAAGAAAGGAGUGUGUUUAAGCUUCUCACUGGCUGUCCCAGUGUUCUCAAGGUCAUUGGCUGUACAAAACACUAAACCUUUAAAUUCUUCGUUUACAAAAUUAUUCAGCUCCAGCAGGCUAGACAAUUUUAAAAGGUUGGCCUCUAAAGGAGCCAUCUGGAUAUAAGAGGAAGCUGUGUACAUUCUCACCAAAUAUCCCAUGAAUCUCAGCAUUUCAAUAAGUUCUAAGGAUGCUUGUCAUUAACGGUGAUAUCAAGUAAGUAUAAUUACUGGGUUUUCAGAAAUGGCCCUGAAAGCUGGCAACCCCAAAGCCCAUUUUUUUUUCUUCUUGCACCAGUGCCUUUCACUUCAAAAAACGAUUUCAUGUUUACACAGACAAUUGACUGUUUAACCCAGCUUAUUAAAGGGAUGGUCAUUCACA